AAAAUAUAAAAAGAUAUAAUUAUACAAAGAUUAAUUAAUCAUACACUAUCAAUUUAAUCAAUACUUUUAAAUUUUUAUUUUUUAAUUUUUAAUAAAAAUUUAAAAUAAAUGAAUCAUAUUUACUACUCCACCGAAUAAUAAUUAUUCAUAAAAAUCGUCUCUAGCUUCAGUAUAAUGUUGGUGGAGAAACUCGUUGUUUUAAAUGCCCCUCCGUACCGGUCUGCUCUGACUCGAGAGUGUUUUAAGAACAGGAGAAAAACAAGUUAGAUAGCACGAGUUCAGCCAUAUAUAUAUAUAUACACACACACACACACACAGACUAUAUACUCAAAUACGUACGAAGCAAAAAGAGAUUCGAUGAUGGUGAAUGGCCA
rnacentral:lncRNA from 1 species